rnacentral:lncRNA from 1 species
AGGGGGAGUAUUAUCUUAGGGGGAGAACAUGAAACACAACUUUUUAAUUAUGAUAAAAAAGGGGGAGAAAAUAUCUUAAAGCUUAUUGUUAUUCACUAAUGUCCUUGUCUUGUAUGAGUUGUGUUUUUACUCAGAUUAUUACUGAAAGCUUUAAUUCAAAGGAGUUUUUGAUCAUCAUCAAAAAGGGGGAGAAUGUUAGCAAAAUGAUGAAGAUGAAGUUUUGAUGAUGUCCAAAUCAAGUNAAGAUAUAUCAAGAUUCACGAAGAU